rnacentral:siRNA from 1 species
GUCAAGUGGUUACGUUCAUCUGA